AUUGAACGCUGGCGGCAGGCCUAACACAUGCAAGUCGAACGAGUGGCGGACGGGUGAGUAAUGUCUGGGAAAAUGCCUGAUGGAGGGGGAUAACUACUGGAAACGGUCGCUAAUACCGCAUACCAUCAGAUGUGCCCAGAUGGGAUUAGCUAGUUGGUGGGGUAAUGGCUCACCAAGGCAACGAUCCCUAGCUGGUCUGAGAGGAUGACCAGCCAGACUGGAACUGAGACACGGUCCAGACGCCGACGGUAGGCAGCAGUGGGGAAUAUUGCACAAGGGGCGAAAGCCUGAUGCAGCCAUGCCGCGUGUAUGAAGAAGGCCUUCGGGUUGUAAAGUACUUGCAGCGGGGAGGCGUUACCCGCAGAAGAAGCACCGGCUAACUCCGUGCCAGCAGCCGCGGUAAUUC
rnacentral:rRNA from 1 species